rnacentral:rRNA from 1 species
UACGUAGGGGGCGAGCGUUGUCCGGAAUUAUUGGGCGUAAAGAGCGUGUAGGCGGCCGGUAAGUCCGCUGUGAAAUCCGGGGCUCAACCCGGACUUGCAGUGGUACGGGCAGACUAGAGUGUGGUAGGGGAGACUGGAAUUCCUGGUGUAGCGGUGAAAUGCGCAGAUAUCAGGAGGAACACCGGUGGCGAAGGCGGCUUCCUGGACCGACACUG